UGGCGGACGGUGAGUAACGCGUGGGUAACCUGCCUUACACAGGGGGAUAACACCUGGAAACAGGUGCUAAUACCGCAUAAGCGCACAGGGCCGCAUGGCCCGGUGUGAAAAACUCCGGUGGUGUAAGAUGGACCCGCGUCUGAUUAGCUUGUUGGCGGGGUAGGGGCCCACCAAGGCGACGAUCAGUAGCCGGCCUGAGAGGGUGGACGGCCACAUUGGGACUGAGACACGGCCCAAACUCCUACGGAAGGCAGCAG
rnacentral:rRNA from 1 species